UGGGGAAUAUUGGACAAUGGGCGAAAGCCUGAUCCAGCCAUGCCGCGUGUGUGAAGAAGGCCUUAUGGUUGUAAAGCACUUUAAGUGGGGAGGAAAAGCUUAUGGAUAAUACCCAUAAGCCCUGACGUUACCCACAGAAUAAGCACCGGCUAACUCUGUGCCAGCAGCCGCGGUAAUACAGAGGGUGCAAGCGUUAAUCGGAAUUACUGGGCGUAAAGCGCGCGUAGGUGGUUAUUUAAGUCAGAUGUGAAAGCCCCGGGCUUAACCUGGGAACUGCAUCUGAUACUGGAUAACUAGAGUAGGUGAGAGGGGAGUAGAAUUCCAGGUGUAGCGGUGAAAUGCGUAGAGAUCUGGAGGAAUACCGAUGGCGAAGGCAGCUCCCUGGCAUCAUACUGACACUGAGGUGCGAAAGCGUGGGUAGCAAACAGGAUUAGAUACCCUGGUAGUCCACGCCGUAAACGAUGUCUACCAGUCGUUGGGUCUUUUAAAGACUUAGUGACGCAGUUAACGCAAUAAGUAGACCGCCUGGGGAGUACGGCCGCAAGGUUA
rnacentral:rRNA from 1 species